rnacentral:rRNA from 1 species
AUGUGCACAAACCCCACGUUCUGCGUGCGCUGCCGGGGCCAAGGCCAUAUCGCGCGCGGAUGCACGCGCCCUCGGCCUCGCAGCACGUCGCCGGUGGAUCGUCCCCGCGCCCCUCUCGCUGCCCGCCCGGUCCCUGCGGCACAGUCCCCCCCGGCCCCCAUGGUGCCGCCCCCGCCACCGCCCAGGUCCGUGCUCCCCCCACCUCCGCCAGGCCCGGCGCCGGUGGGCGUGGUGCGCAUUGACAUGCCGUGGAGUCAGGUGGUCCGCGCUGGGUCGGCGGAAAGCGUGGCCGGGCCGAGCUUUGCGGUGCCGUUCGCGCCGACGGCGGUUCCUGAGCCAGUGGAGGACACCGUGGAUUGUUGCUUCAUGGAGGCGGGCCCGGACCUGUGGGAGAUGGAAGCGGAACUUGCCCGCGCAGUGGUGGUCACGGUGGUGGGCUCUCGUCAGGCGGCGCACCUAGCUGCGGCGGCAGAUGCCAUCCGCAUGGAGUUUGAUCUUGGUCCCAUGGACAUGUCAAUCAGGCCGUACUUUCCAGAGGAUUUCCUGAUCCUCUGCCGUUCGAAGGAGAUCCGUGAUAGGAUGGUCAGGCGGGUGUGGGCAGGCACGCCGCAGUUCGACCUGCUGCUCCGGCCUUGGCUUCGGCAGGCUGGGGCCACGGGCAUCCGGAUGCCGUUCAUGGUGCCCCUGGUGCUCCGGGGAGUGCCGGUGAAUGCUUGGACCCGGCGCUUGGCGGAGGUGUUACUGCAUGGCCUGGGAGUGGUCGUCAAGGUGGCGGCGUCCACGGAAUCUAGGAGCGAUAUGGCUGGCUUCAAGGUGUGGCUGCGUACGAACGACCGUGCGUGCGUUCCGCCCCGUCGCAUCCUCGUCGUGGAGGAGCCAAACAGGAGGAGUGCGCGGGCGCUGGCUCUGGCGGAUCUCGACGAUGCACUGUGGUACCCGAUCGACAUCACCCAAGAGGGACCGACGAUUCGCAUCGGGCAGCCGAGCGGGGGACAGUCGCCGCCGCCGGCUCCUUCCCCCCGGGCGGUGGUGGACCUGAUCCGGGCGCUGCGGGAGAUGAUGAUGGCUCGGGCGGCCCGCCGACCUCUGGGGGUGGUCGGCAGGAGCAAGGUGGUGAUAGGCUGGGCUCCUCGCUUGGCUUGUCGGAGGGCUCGUCUUCGGCGUCGGCUCCAACGUCGGCAAGAUGCAGCAGGUCCGGCGGGUCAGAGAUGGCCGGUCAGGUCGGGCGGCCUGCCGUUGGGCCAGCCGCGGACUGCGGUGGGGCCGAUGAGGUCACUCGUGUGGGGGUGGUUGUGGACUGUCAGGAUAGACUGCUGGAUAGUGUUGACAGGCCAAUGCGGGCAGGACGCGUGGAGACUGCAGUGGAGGGAUCCCAGCCGCUUUUGGUGGAAAGCAGGGUUGGGCCCCGGACGGAUCAGUCCGAAUCUCGGUCGAUGUGUGCGACCGGCCAACGGGAACUGGGCACGGUGGCUCUAG